AUUUUCCACAACGCAAGUUAACGCCGCUCCCUCUCCCUCUUUAUUCCUCCAGCUGCCAGAUUUCUUCUUCCCACACGCGCACACAGAGAUAUUAGGUACCGGAGUCUCCUCCAGAAGCAAAGUUCAGAGUUCUCGAUCUCAUCUCCUCCAAAAGGAACCUUGAAAUGGCAGGGAGAAAUCGUAUUCCUCGUGAUGCAUUUGAUAAUCGGCGUGGGUAUCCCCCGGAAGGAGCUCUUGUUCGUGGUCCUUUGCCUCGCCCAAUGCCACCACAUCCUGCUUUGUUAGAGGAAGAGCUUGAAAUGCAGCAUGCUGGAAUCAGGAGGCUUUGGGGUGAAAAUCAGACAUUGGUUGAGGAUCGAAGAGCUCUGCAGCGAGAGCUAGGUGCCGCUAAGGAGGAACUUCACCGGAUGAAUCUUGCCAUUGCUGAUAUUCGUGCAGAACAAGAAUUCCGCUCAAGGGAGCUUUUUGAGAGAGGCUUGAAGCUGGAAGCUGAUCUUCGCAUGACUGAGCCUUUGAAAAAAGAGGCAGUACAACUUCGUGCUGAAGCUCAGAAGCUGAAUGCUAUCAGGCAGGAUUUGGCAGGGCAAGUUCAGACACUCACGAAGGACCUUGCAAAAUUGCAGGCUGAUAAUAAGCAGAUUCCACUUUUGAGGAAUGAGAUGGAUGGACUACAUCAGGAGCUUAUGCAUGCUAGAACUGCAAUUGAUUAUGAAAAGAAGGCAAAUAUCGAGCUAAUGGAACAAAGACAGGCAAUGGAGAAGAACUUGGUUUCCAUGGCACGUGAAGUCGAAAAGUUACGUGCAGAACUUGCAAAUGCUGAUGGUAGACCAUGGGGUGAUGGUGGAUAUGGGAUGAAAUUCAGUGGCAUGGAGGGGGGUUACCCUGCACCUUAUGGAGAUGGAUAUGGGCUUCAUCUGGGUGCUGCUGACAAGGGUCCUCUCUAUGGUUCUGGUUCUGCUUCAUGGGGAGGACUUGAGAAACCUCGCAUGACUCGUCAUUGAGAUCUGGAUGGCUUUAGUGUUUAAAUUGCAGAAAGGCGCACCACUAGUUUGGCUUCUGUUUGCAGUAUGUAUGUGGGCUAGACCCAUCGUUCUAUCUGUGCGUAGCGCACCAGGAGUCCUUUAUUUGAACAUUGUUGGUUAUCUUAAACAACUUAUAUGGGAGAAUUAAGAUGGCGAGCUGGUACUGGUACUGGUACUGGUACUGUUACUGGUUCUGGUCCCUUGUGUCUAAAGAUACUGUUGAAAGGUGAAUCGAGAAGAUCAGGAAUCCCUUCUAUUAGAAAUUGAAUGAGGUAAGAUUCAGUGAAGCUUCCAAAAUGAAUUAGGUAUACAAUAGGUGAAGAAGGAAACUAGUCAUUAAGGGGUAGUCUCUUAUGCUCGAGACUUUGCAGAAGCUAAUGGAAAUGGAUUUAACCUGGUCGGAUUAUUUUUGGCCUAAGGAAGAGUUUAAGCUACAUAUUCUCCCUUGGAGAAUGUUGAGGCUGUUGAGGAGGCAUAUUACUAAGAUCUUGCCAUGACAUCUUUUGAGAGCUUUUUUUUGGUAGCUUGAGCUCCUCGAAAAUAUGGAUGCCACUUCUCUCUCUGCAUUAGGAAAGAGUGGACUAGUAUAUAAUUUUCAAGUGUGAAUACUGCAUACUAUAUGUGUGUGCAUGUAAUAAAUCUGCCUACUUUUGUUAUUGUGUGGGGGGGUUUAUGUCAAUGAUGGAUGGAUGGGCUGUUGUGAGCGAAGUUCGUGAGCUUUUCCUCCUUGUACCAUGGAGAGAUGGCUAUCAGUGUCUCCUGUUGUAUGCGUUUGGUUAUUUUUCUUGCUUUUCAAGAUGAAAUUCCUUGUGCUUUAAACAUAAAGAACUGUUUUGCUAUGGCAGUUUCAUUUUUGUUGUUA